UUUCAUGUUUUUAUUUAUUUAUUUCGACUGCGUCAGACGAACAUGGCUACCUACCUGAAUCUUAUAUGGCUGUGUUCAGUUUCCACUGCAGCCUCUGAAUGCCAGUUUCUGAACACCAGUUUCUGGAAAUCACAAGGCUUGCCAGAGGCAUCUAGUUGGCCACUGUGAGAACAGGAUGCUGGACUAGAUGAGCUAUUAUUGGACUGAUCCAGCGGGACUUAAAAAAAAAAUCUUAAGAAAGAUUUAAGGAAGAGAGGGGCGUUCUUUUGUCCUUCUCUAAAGCUGUGUUUAUCUUAUCUUGAGGCUGCAGAUUCAAAGCAGGAAACGCAUUGAAUUUCCUGACCACCUUCCCCCCCUUCCUUCCCCCCUGGACUGCAAGAAGAUCAUUCUCCAUUCUUACGGAAAUCAGCCCUGAGUGCUCACUGGAAGGACAGAUCGUGAAGCUGAAGCUCCAAUACUUUGGCCACCUCAUGAGAAGAGAAGAUUCCCUGGAAAAGACCCUGAUGGUGGGAAAGAUUGAGGGCACAAGGAGAAGGGGACGACAAAGGACGAGAUGGUUGGACAGUGUUCUCAAAGCUACCAGCAUGAGUUUGAUCAAACUGCGGGAGGCAGUGGAAGACAGGAGUGCCUGGCGUGCUCUGGUCCAUGGGGUAACGAAGAGUCGGACAUGACUAAAUGACUAAACAACAACAAUAAUAUAUUAAAGGGCAAGAUUCUCACCUGGAAGAACCCUUGUCUAGUGUUCCAUGCAUCCGAUUCUCACAGUGCAGGCCAAUGGGCAGCCAGUAAGCAGCCACUCUCCCCACUUCUGAUUCUCAACAAAUGACAUUCAGAGGCAUACUGCCUCUGGCAGCAGAACGAGACUAAACCCAUCAUGGGCAGUAGCCAUUGGUAGCUGUCUCCUCCAUGAAUUUGUCUAAUCCUCUUUUAAAGCUGUUAUGUACUGAGUUGAAUAGGAUCCAAACUGCAGCAGUCUGAUUGGUCCUAGAACAAUAGGAUCCAAAUUGCAGCAGUCUGAUUGGUCCUAGAACAAUAGGAUUCAGAAUGCAGCAAUCUGAUUGGUCCUAGAACAAUGCAGCAGUAUGAUUGGUUGGCAGGAACCACCCAAUCAUGCUCCAGAUAGAAGUGAAUUCACAACCUGAUUGACUUACAGUAGAAAUCCAGAAUUAGCCAAUCAUGUGCAGCCCAUUGUGUAAAUAAUGUAUAUAAAGCAGA
rnacentral:lncRNA from 1 species